rnacentral:rRNA from 1 species
UACGGGGGGGGGCAAGCGUUGUUCGGAAUUACUGGGCGUAAAGGGCGCGUAGGCGGCCUGUUAAGUCGAACGUGAAAUCCCCGGGCUCAACCCGGGAACUGCGUCCGAUACUGGCAGGCUUGAAUUCGGGAGAGGGAUGCGGAAUUCCAGGUGUAGCGGUGAAAUGCGUAGAUAUCUGGAGGAACACCGGUGGCGAAGGCGGCAUCCUGGACCGACAUUGACGCUGAGGCGCGAAAGCCAGGGGAGCAAACGGG